rnacentral:rRNA from 1 species
CCUACGGGUGGCAGCAGUGAGGAAUAUUGGUCAAUGGGCGCGAGCCUGAACCAGCCAAGUAGCGUGAAGGAUGACUGCCCUACGGGUUGUAAACUGCUUUUGUACAAGGGUAAACCUGAAUACGUGUAUUCAGCUGAAAGUACUGUACGAAUAAGGAUCGGCUAACUCCGUGCCAGCAGCCGCGGUAAUACGGAGGAUCCAAGCUUUAUCCGGAUUUAUUGGGUUUAAAGGGUGCGUAGGCGGAUUGAUAAGUUAGAGGUGAAAUGUCCGAGCUUAACUCGGGAACUGCCUCUAAUACUGUUGAUCUAGAGAGUAGAUGCGGUAGGCGGAAUGUAUGGUGUAGCGGUGAAAUGCUUAGAGAUCACGAAGAACUCCGAUUGCGAAGGCAGUUCACUGGACUGCAACUGACACUGAGGCUCGAAAGUGUGGGGAGCAAACAGGAUUAGAUACCCCAGUAGUC